rnacentral:tRNA from 1 species
AUUUCCGUAGUGUAGUGGUUAUCACGUUUGCCUUACACGCAAAAGGUCCCCAGUUCGAAACUGGGCGGAAACA